CCUACGAGGGGCAGCAGUGGGGAAUAUUGCACAAUGGGGGGAACCCUGAUGCAGCGACGCCGCGUGGGUGAAGGAGUCUUUCGGUAUGUAAAGCCCUAUCAGCAGGGAAGAACAAUGACGGUACCUGACUCAGACGCACCGGCUAAAUACGUGCCAGCAGCCGCGGUAAUACGUAUGGUGCAAGCGUUAUCCGGAUUUACUGGGUGUAAAGGGAGCGCAGGCGGCGCGUUAAGCCUGGUGUGAAAGCCCGCGGCCCAACCGCGGGACUGCAUUGGGAACUGGCGCGCUGGAGUGCCGGAGGGGUAGGCGGAAUUCCUAGUGUAGCGGUGAAAUGCGUAGAUAUUAGGAGGAACACCAGUGGCGAAGGCGGCCUACUGGACGGUGACUGACGCUGAGGCUCGAAAGCGUGGGGAGCAAACAGGAUUAGAUACCCCAGUAGUC
rnacentral:rRNA from 1 species